rnacentral:rRNA from 1 species
UACGGGGGGGGCAAGCGUUGUUCGGAAUUACUGGGCGUAAAGGGCCAGUAGGCGGCCAACUAAGUCCGACGUGAAAUCCCCAGGCUCAACUUGGGAACUGCGUCGGAUACUGGAUGGCUUGAAUUCGGGAGAGGGAUGCGGAAUUCCAGGUGUAGCGGUGAAAUGCGCAGAUAUCAGGAGGAACACCAAUUGCGAAGGCAGCUCGCUGGGACGUUACUGACGCUGAGACGCGAAAGCGUGGGGAGCAAACAGG